rnacentral:rRNA from 1 species
ACUCCUACGGGAGGCAGCAGUGGGGAAUAUUGCACAAUGGGGGAAACCCUGAUGCAGCCAUGCCGCGUGUGUGAAGAAGGCCUUCGGUUGUAAAGCACUUUCAGUAGGGAGGAAGGUAGUGUAGUUAACACCUGCAUUAUUUGACGUUACCUACAGAAGAAGCACCGGCUAACUCCGUGCCAGCAGCCGCGGUAAUACGGAGGGUGCGAGCGUUAAUCGGAAUUACUGGGCGUAAAGCGCAUGCAGGCGGCCUGUUAAGUCAGAUGUGAAAGCCCGGGGCUUAACCUCGGAAUUGCAUUUGAAACUGGCAGGCUAGAGUCUGUAGAGGGGUUAGAAUUUCAGGUGUAGCGGUGAAAUGCGUAGAGAUCUGAAGGAAUACCAGUGGCGAAGGCGGCCCCUGGACAAAGACUGACGCUCAGAUGCGAAAGCGUGGGAGCAAACAGGAUUAGAUACCCCUGGUAGACUGUCA